AAAACGACUCUCGGCAACGGAUAUCUCGGCUCUCGCAUCGAUAAAGAACGUAGCGAAAUGCGAUACUUGGUGUGAAUUGCAGAAUCCCGUGAACCAUCGAGUCUUUGAACGCAAGUUGCGCCCUAAGCCUUCUGGCCGAGGGCACGUCUGCCUGGGUGUCACAAA
rnacentral:rRNA from 1 species